GGGCCCGUAGCUUAGCAUGGUGGAGCGUUCGGCUGAUAACCGAAAGGUCGCCGGUUCAAAUCCGGUCGGGCCCA
rnacentral:tRNA from 2 species